rnacentral:rRNA from 1 species
AGGCUUUGAUCCUGGCUCAGGAUGAACGCUAGCGGCAGGCCUAAUACAUGCAAGUCGAACGGUAACAGGGUAGCAAUACCGCUGACGAGUGGCGCACGGGUGCGUAACGCGUAUGCAACUUACCUCUAACUGGGGGAUAGCCCUUCGAAAGAAGGAUUAAUACCCCAUAGUAUUUGAGAAUCGCAUGAUUUCCAGAUUAAAGCUCCGGCGGUUAGAGAUGGGCAUGCGUGACAUUAGCUAGUUGGUGAGGUAACGGCUCACCAAGGCGACGAUGUCUAGGGGUUCUGAGAGGAUGAUCCCCCACACUGGUACUGAGACACGGACCAGACUCCUACGGGAGGCAGCAGUAAGGAAUAUUGGUCAAUGGACGCAAGUCUGAACCAGCCAUGCCGCGUGCAGGAUGACAGCCCUAUGGGUCGUAAACUGCUUUUGUACGGGAAUAAACCCUUCUACGUGUAGAAGGCUGAAGGUACCGUAAGAAUAAGGAUCGGCGUA